rnacentral:rRNA from 1 species
GCCGGUGAUGAUAGUGCGGAGGUCCUACCCGAUCCCAUCCCGAACUCGGAAGUCAAGCUCUAGCACGCCGAUGGUACUGCACGGGUGACCGUGUGGGAGAGUAGGUCUCGCCGGCC